rnacentral:lncRNA from 1 species
UACUUUUGAAAGUCAAAACCCUAGGCAUUUGAGUACAAAUUUUGUGAUUUCUCUCAAGUUAAAGUUUCAAACGACAUGAGAUUUUAGGCAUAGGCUUUUUAUAUUACAAAUGAUAUGUAUACAAAAAAUAAGAUUCAAAUUUUUCUUGAAGUUCAAAUUUUAGCUUAAAUCCAAAAUCCUCUAUUUCUCUAAUUUCUUCAAAAUCCUAGUUUUAAUUUGUUGGGUUUAACUAGCCAUAUCUCAUUCAUUUUAGAUUCAAUUCUAUUGAUCCUCCAAUAUAAAAUAUUUUGUUUGAAGUCUAGUUUCUAUU